CCUCCCCACCUCAGUUUUAAAAAACUGACCAAGAGGCCAAGCCAGGAUAUGACAAAUUUUCCUUCCUAAAAGAUUGGCAAGGUCUCGUUGGAGCUAAGCCAGGCAUGCAGGGCAUCCAGAGGAAUUGACUCCUUUAGCCUCUUCCAUCUCAGAGGCCACCUCAGCUCUCAUACCAUCCUGAUGGUUCCUACUCCUGGGUUUUGAUGACUUUACCUUUAAGAUUACCAAACUGAUUUGCUAGGAGUAGCAAUUUGUUAAUCCAGUGUGUUAUAUCUUGGUGGUACAAGACAUGAAAAGUUAAAUAAAAAC
rnacentral:lncRNA from 1 species